UCAGAGAGACUACAGUCAGCUGGCUAGGAGUACAGUCAGCUAGGAGCACAGUCAGCUAGGAGCACAGUCAGCUAGGAGCACAGUCAGCUAGGAGCACAGUCAGCAGGAGCACAGUCAGCUAGGAGCACAGUCAGCUAGGAGCACAGUCAGCUAGGAGCACAGUCAGCUAGGAGCACAGUCAGGCAGGAGCACAGUCAGGCAAGUGGCUUGAAGAUCUCUGUUACGGUCAGUAGCUUCAGGUAACUGUCAAAAUAAAGGAAACACUUACAUAAAGGGUGUUGGGCCACCACGAGCCAGAACAGCUUCAAUGCACCUUGGCAUAGAUUCUACAAGUGUCUGGUACUCUAUUGGAGGGACACGACACCAUUCUUCCACAAUAAAUGACAUCAUUUGGGGUUCUGUUGAUAGUGGUGGAAAACACUGUCUCAGUCACUGCUUCAGAAUCUACCAUAAAUGUUCAAUUAGGUUGAAAUCUGGUGACUGACACACACAAACACACUAACCCCCCCAUGCUCAUUUGAGACUCAAAGUCACUGAGAUCUCUUCUUCUAGCCAUGGUAGCCAAGAUAAUGGGCAACUGGGUAUUUUUAUACAUGACCCUAAGCAUGAUGGGAUGUUAAUUGCUUAAUUAUCUCAGGAACCACACCUGUACGGACCACACAUUCAAUAUACUCUGUGUUCUUCAUUUACUCAAGUGUUUCCUUUAUUUUGUCAGGUAUGUUGUUGAUGAGUAGGGCAUGAUGGGAUCUUUGGGGGCAGAAUAUCACUGCUGUUCCUGUCUAUUGAUCUGAACACAAGCUCAGAACAUAGAACAACCUAGAUGGUGCUGAGGACAACCACAGAGCUCCUAAUAUAACAUUACUGAGGGUUUGAUUCACGCAAUGGUCACACGUACUGAAUACAAGUCCUAGACCAGCCCAGAAAGAGUCUCCAGUACUGAGUACAGGUCCUAGACCAGCCCAGAAAGAGUCUCCAGUACUGAGUACAGGUCCUAGACCAGCCCAGAAAGAGCCUCCAGUACUGAGUACAGGUCCUAGACCAGCCCAGAAAGAGCCUCCAGUACUGAGUACAGGUCCUAGACCAGAAAGAGUCUCCAGUACUGAGUACAGGUCCUAGACCAGAAAGAGUCUCCAGUACUGAGUACAGGUCCUAGACCAGAAAGAGCCUCCAGUACUGAGUACAGGUCCUAGACCAGCCCAGAAAGAGUCUCCAGUACUGAGUACAGGUCCUAGACCAGAAAGAGUCUCCAGUACUGAGUACAGGUCCUAGACCAGAAAGAGCCUCCAGUACUGAGUACAGGUCCUAGACCAGCCCAGAAAGAGUCUCCAGUACUGAGUACAGGUCCUAGACCAGAAAGAGCCUCCAGUACUGAGUACAGGUCCUAGACCAGAAAGAGUCUCCAGUACUGAGUACAGGUCCUAGACCAGAAAGAGCCUCCAGUACUGAGUACAGGUCCUAGACCAGACCAUAGAUGUGACUUUUGGGGGUGUGAUGACAUGGUGAUGGGGUGACACUGAGAAUGUGUGUGAGGACCAUGAUUCACUGUGUCUGACCUUGAGUCCCUGAUGAAUUCCAGCCAUAUCUAGACACUGGUGAACACACACACUCU